rnacentral:rRNA from 1 species
CGAGCAACGCCGCGUGAGCGAUGAAGGCCUUCGGGUCGUAAAGCUCUGUUGUUAGAGAAGAACAAGUACGAGAGUAACUGCUCGUACCUUGACGGUACCUAACCAGAAAGCCACGGCUAACUACGUGCCAGCAGCCGCGGUAAUACGUAGGUGGCAAGCGUUAUCCGGAAUUAUUGGGCGUAAAGCGCGCGCAGGCGGUCUCUUAAGUCUGAUGUGAAAGCCCACGGCUCAACCGUGGAGGGUCAUUGGAAACUGGGAGACUUGAGUGCAGGAGAGAAAAGUGGAAUUCCACGUGUAGCGGUGAAAUGCGUAGAGAUGUGGAGGAACACCAGUGGCGAAGGCGGCUUUUUGGCCUGUAACUGACGCUGAGGCGCGAAAGCGUGGGGAGCAAACAGGAUUAGAUACCCUGGUAGUCCACGCCGUAAACGAUGAGUGCUAGGUGUUGGGGGGUUCCACCCUCAGUGCUGAAGUUAACACAUUAAGCACUCCGCCUGGGGAGUACGACCGCAAGGUUGAAACUCAAAG